AGUAAUGUAUGGGGAUCUGCCUGAUGGCGGGGGAUAACUACUGGAAACGGUAGCUAAUACCGCAUAAUGUCUACGGACCAAGGCGGGGGACCUCCGGGCCUCGCGCCAUCAGAUGAACCCAUAUGGGAUUAGCUAGUAGGUGAGGUAACGGCUUACCUAGGCGACGAUCCCUAGCUGGUCUGAGAGGAUGAUCAGCCACACUGGGACUGAGACACGGCCAG
rnacentral:rRNA from 1 species